rnacentral:lncRNA from 1 species
CCUCGGCAUUAUCACUUGUUUAAAAAUUGAGUUAUUCUCAAUCGUCGAGAUGAUUAAUUAGUCGUUGAAAAUGAUUAAUCUUCUUUACUCGUCGAGGUAACUUGUUUAAUGCUCGGGGUCAACAAUGAUGUUCCCAAAUAUUUUACAGUUUGAGUCCUCGGGAUGAAUUUGUGUUCGUUAUAAUAUUCAGAAAAUGUUUUCACGAAUUAUGUCCUCGAGGUGUUUCACUACUCUAGGCGUCGAGANAGUCAAGGCUCGGAGGUUCAGAGCUGGCGAUUUGGUCUUGAGGAGGGCCGAAGCAGCAGGCCACCCCCCAGGGAAGCUCGGGCCCGUCUGGGAAGGGCCCUUUGAGGUCAUACGACAGGUUCGCAAGGGAGCAUACAGCCUAAGAGAUACUUCGGGUAGACCUCUUCCGAGGCCCUGGAAUGCCGACAAUCUGAAAAUAUAUUACAAGUAAAAUUCCCGACGCCUUUAAGGAGAUUUUCUUUUCCUGCAUUUUAUUUCUAGUUUAGCGGGCCUGCGUGCCCAUGCAUGUUUUCCGUUCUCUUUUGUAAUGAACUACGUUCGGCUUGAUCCCGUUUGGGUACGUAGGCAGCUUGGAUGCAAUAUAAAUCCAAGUCCAGUCCGAACAGUUAAUAAAUCCAAACCUCGGGUAUA